rnacentral:rRNA from 1 species
GCAUAUCAAUAAGCGGAGGAAAAGAAACUAACAAGGAUUCCCCUAGUAACGGCGAGUGAAGAGGGAAGAGCUCAAAUUUUAAAUCUGCCUUGUUUCAAGGUCUGAGUUGUAAUUUGAAGAAGCGUUUUCUUGGGCUCGCGACCGGUAGAAGUUCUUUGGAACAGGACAUCAUAGAGGGUGACAAUCCCGUCUGCGACCGGUCGUGCGUUCAUCUACGAUACGCUUUCAAAGAGUCGAGUUGUUUGGGAUUGCAGCUCCAAAUGGGUGGUAAACAUCACCUAAGGCUAAAUAUUGGCGAGAGACCGAUAGCGAACGAGUACCGUGAGGGAAAGAUGAAAAGAACUUUGAAAAGAGAGUUAAACAGUACGUGAAAUUGUUGAAAGGGAAACGAUUGAAGUCAGGCGUGCUGGCGCGAAAUCAACCCUCUCGUCGAGAGGACACAUGGCGUGGCGAGCCUCAAAACCGUCACGAAGCGUGAACUCUUGGCGAAAAGGAGCACUUUCGUGUCCGCUGGUUAACAUCAAUUUCGAACGUCAUAAAAAGGCUGGAGGGAUGUGGCUCCUUCGGGAGUGUUAUAACCUUUAGCGGAAUGUGGUGGUCGGGAUUGAGGAUUGCAACGAAUACCUUUAGGGCUGUUCCACCUGGCUUCUCUUUGGUAUCCUGGUGACGACAAGCUUGCUGACAGUUGUUAGGAUUCGCCUUUGAACUGGCUAGAGUGUGAGCAAAUUCGUUAAGGAUGUUGACGUAAUGGCUUUAAACGAC